rnacentral:misc_RNA from 1 species
GUCCAAGUCCACGAUUCUCAUGAGCACCCUUUAUGAGUCCUGGAAUAUCAGCCACUGUGAUUGAGAAGUCAUCAAACUUCAGUUUACCUAAAUUUGGUCUAAGAGUCGUGAAGGCAUAAUGACCUACCCUAGGUUUUGCCCUGGAUAAAGCUCCCAAAAGAGUACUUUUACCAGCAUUUGGCAUUCCAACAAGGCCCACAUCAGCAAUGCUUUUCAGUUCCAAUACAAGAACAGCCUCUGAGCCAGGCAAACCACAGCUAAGGCAGGACUGAUCCUCACUGGACAUUUCAGGAUCAAAGGCAUUAUCCCUAUUGACUCCAGGCUUA